UACGUAGGGUGCGAGCGUUAAUCGGAAUUACUGGGCGUAAAGCGUGCGCAGGCGGUUCGUUGUGUCUGAUGUGAAAGCCCCGGGCUCAACCUGGGAAUGGCAUUGGAAACUGGCGAGCUAGAGUGUGGCAGAGGGGGGUGGAAUUCCGCGUGUAGCAGUGAAAUGCGUAGAGAUGCGGAGGAACACCGAUGGCGAAGGCAGCCCCCUGGGCUAACACUGACGCUCAUGCACGAAAGCGUGGGGAGCAAACAGG
rnacentral:rRNA from 1 species